UACGUAGGGUGCAAGCGUUGUCCGGAAUUAUUGGGCGUAAAGAGCUCGUAGGCGGUUUGUUGCGUCGGCUGUGAAAUCCCGAGGCUCAACCUCGGGUCUGCAGUCGAUACGAGCAAACUAGAGUGUUGCAGGGGGAGACUGGAAUUCCUGGUGUAGCGGUGAAAUGCGCAGAUAUCAGGAGGAACACCGGUGGCGAAGGCGGGGUCUCUGGGGCAACAACUGACGCUGAGGAGCGAAAGCGUGGGGGAGCGAACAGG
rnacentral:rRNA from 1 species